AAGUCGUAACAAGGUUUCCGUAGGUGAACCUGCGGAAGGAUCAUUAAAGAAAUCUGGCAAACGGUCCUUCACGGGGCUUAGUAGCCUUUUCUCUACAACCCACCCCUUUGUGAACCAACGCGCGAGUUAGUAAAAGGGGGCGUGCUUCGGUGCACGCACCUUUGAAGGCUAGCGACUUUUUACCAUAUAUACACCUUUAGCAAGUCUCAGAAUGUUACCUUUGCGUCUAACGCGAUGAAAUUACAACUUUCAGCAACGGAUCUCUUGGCUCUC
rnacentral:misc_RNA from 1 species